rnacentral:misc_RNA from 1 species
AAGUCGUAACAAGGUCUCCGUUGGUGAACCAGCGGAGGGAUCAUUACAGAGUUACUUAAAAAACUCCCAACCCUUUGUGAACUUACCACUGUUGCCUCGGCGCUGGCUGCGGCUACCCUAUAGCUACCCUGUAGGCAACUACCCUGUACCUAUCUUGUAGUACGCUUAGGCCCGUCGGAGGACCAUUGAACUCUUGUUUUACUGUGAAUAUCUGAAUGCUUCAACUGAAAUAAGUUAAAA